AAACAAACAAAAAUAGGUGCCGCCGCGUUUGACACAAUGCAUCAAUGUCAUCCAAGCGCCGCUGGAUCUUUCAGGACCUUUUGAAAAGCGCCCGCCUCAGCAGUUAGCGUGGCUGGCGGGCUGUGGAUUCCAGGUUUAAGAUGCCCGUGAAGAGCCUCCUGCUGGCCAGGCUGGUGUACUGCGCUCAGCGUGCGGCCAAGCUCUUUUGCGGUCAGCGCAAACGGCAGAGUGGGACCUCGCCCGGACCCCGCAACCCGAUGUCGCUGUUCCAGCAGCUUUCCAAGAGGUUCACCGAUUUGCUGCGCAACGUUCUGUGAAUCCCGGCUGGGAAUGAUAGAAUAAAAUGUGGAAAGAUGAUAAUAAUAUUCCACUCUAGGAAAAUUACAAUUUCCUGCUGCUGUGGUAUCUUUUUGCCAUGUUGUUUUUAACUCAAU